UUUGGAGAGCACAUAUAAGCUUCAUAUCCUAAGAACCACAGAUCAAUUUAUUCACUGUAGUGUUGAAGACUCAGCCUGAGCAGUCAAAUUCCAACUAAGUGUUAUAUAUGCCUACAAUACAAUAGCACUAAGGAAACAGUUGUGGAAUGACCUCAGGGGACUUCCUAUUCUGGGGCAAGAUGUAUGGCUAUUAAGUGGAGAUU
rnacentral:lncRNA from 1 species